CCUACGGGGUGCAGCAGUGGGGAAUAUUGGGCAAUGGGCGCAAGCCUGACCCAGCAACGCCGCGUGAAGGAAGAAGGCUUUCGGGUUGUAAACUUCUUUUCUCAGGGACGAAGCAAGUGACGGUACCUGAGGAAUAAGCCACGGCUAACUGCGUGCCAGCAGCCGCGGUAAUACGUAGGUGGCAAGCGUUAUCCGGAUUUACUGGGGGGAAAGGGCGUGUAGGCGGGGACGCAAGUCAGAUGUGAAAACGACGGGUUCAACCUGUGGCCUGCAUUUGAAACUGUGUUUCUUGAGUGCUGGAGAGGCGGACGGAAUUCCUAGUGUAGCGGUGAAAUGCGUAGAUAUUAGGAGGAACACCAGUGGCGAAGGCGGUCUGCUGGACAGCAACUGACGCUGAGGCGCGAAAGCGUGGGGAGCAAACAGGAUUAGAUACCCGAGUAGUC
rnacentral:rRNA from 1 species